rnacentral:lncRNA from 1 species
CCAAGAAAAAUUCUGGUUCUGCCGCCAGACCUUCCACUGCCAUUGGCCUCUGCAGGAGGAGACAGACUCCCGGCGCUCUGUAGAGCGCCUGCCCGAGUAACACAGAGCUGGAGCCGGAGAAGAUGAUGGCAGUCCCAGCAGGCGCUCAGGCACACCCCGACAUCCAAAGCAGCGCGUCCGGAAAUCCCGUUGAAAGAGGCGCAUUUGCCAUGGCGCCAGAGAUGCUCCCCAAGCAUCCUCAUACCCCGCGGGACAGGAGGCCUCAGGCGGACACCUCCCUCCAUGGCAAUCUGGCAGGAGCGCCCCUUCCUCUGCUGGCUGGUGCUUCCACCCAUUUCCCCUCCAAGAGGUUAAUAAAGGUUUGCUCCUCAGCACCCCCCCGCCCAAUCCAGCGUUUCCAUACGGUUUAUUCACAGGCCCUUUCUAGGCCAGUGGUGAAUGCUCACUUACAUUGA